rnacentral:rRNA from 1 species
AUUGAACGCUGGCGGCAGGCCUAACACAUGCAAGUCGAGCGAGCGGCGGACGGGUGAGUAAUGUCUGGGAAACUGCCUGAUGGAGGUGGAUAACUACUGGAAACGGUAGCUAAUACCGCAUAUCAUCAGAUCUGCCCAGAUGGUAUUAGCUAGUAGGUGGGGUAACGGCUCACCUAGGCGACGAUCCCUAGCUGGUCUGAGAGGAUGACCAGCCACACUGGAACUGAGACACGGUCCAGACUCCUACGGGAGGCAGCAGUGGGGAAUAUUGCGCAAUGGGCGAAAGCCUGACGCAGCCAUGCCGCGUGUGUGAAGAAGGCCUUCGGGUUGUAAAGCACUUUCAGCGGGGAGGCGUUACCCGCAGAAGAAGCACCGGCUAACUCCGUGCCAGCCGCCGCGGUAAUAC